GACAGAGGAUGCAAGCGUUAUCCGGAAUGAUUGGGCGUAAAGCGUCUGUAGGUGGCUUCUUAAGUCCGCUGUCAAAUCCCAGGGCUUAACCCUGGCCAGGCGGUGGAGACUACUAAGCUUGAGUACGGUAGGGGCAGAGGGAAUUUCCGGUGGAGCGGUGAAAUGCGUAGAGAUCGGAAAGAACACCAAGGGCGAAGGCACUCUGCUGGGCCGACACUGACACUGAGAGACGAAAGCUAGGGGAGCGAAUGGG
rnacentral:rRNA from 1 species